CGGCAGAGUGUAUCAAGUGCGGUCAUCGGUUUACUGUAGCAUGGUGACACCUCCGCAUACGUAUCCUUAUUGAAGGUUACUGUCCCCUUCUGAGUAGGCGCUGUUAUAUUCAGCCGCUUAACUUCCAAAGGCGAAGCUGUCACCUUCCAGUUUGCAGGCUCGAUCUGAUCGCCGUUACACUCAUCCAACCCCUGCUGGCCGCGACACAUCCAGUCGUAGUCUUUUUUCCCUUUUUUCAUCGCCCUUCUUGGACCGCUACCAGUGCCAGAAUCCCAGACAGUGACAUUAUCAUUGCCCAAGUCGUCCGUCAGGAUCACAAGAGUGCCACUACCUGGUAGGUAGUCAACAGCGAAUGUGUCGAUGCAUUCCUCCGGUGAAAGGCGUUCAAAAGAGUCAUGAGUCAUGGAUUGGAGAAAAUCGGAUUUCGUGAGGUUUAGGGCAGACCUAACACAUUCGCUAGCCACAAGGCUGUAAUCGCCUACGUUGGGGGCUACUAAGACUUUGUAUUGAUGCACGGCAGUGGAGGCGAAUAUGACGGAGUUAUAUCUGGAUGAUCCAGUGAGAAUAUGCAAUCAAUGGCAUUGGAUAUUGAAGGCACUAACAUAAUGUGAAUUGGUAGUGAAGUAAGCAGCAAUACUAGCCAGAGGCCC
rnacentral:sRNA from 1 species